GCUGGCGUAGCUCAGUUGGUAGAGCAGCNNUAAUCAGCAGGUCGUAGGUUCGAGUCCUAUUGCCAGCUCCA
rnacentral:tRNA from 1 species